rnacentral:rRNA from 1 species
CCCUUAGAUGUUCUGGGCCGCACGCGCGCUACACUGUUCGACGCAGCGAGUCUUAACCUUGACCGAAAGGUUUGGGUAAUCUUCAGCAAAGUCGAACGUGAUGGGGAUCGAUCAUUGCAAUUAUUGAUCGUGAACGAGGAAUUCCUAGUAAGUGCAAGUCAUCAGCUUGCGCUGAUUACGUCCCUGCCCUUUGUACACACCGCCCGUCGCUACUACCGAUUGAAUGGUUUAGUGAGAUCUCUGGAUUGACGCUGGCUAGGGGGCGACCCUUGGCCAGACUGUUGAGAAACUGCUCAAACUUGAUCAUUUAGAGGAAGUAAAAGUCGUAUCA